rnacentral:rRNA from 1 species
UACGUAGGGUGCAAGCGUUGUCCGGAAUUAUUGGGCGUAAAGAGCUCGUAGGCGGUCUGUCGCGUCUGCUGUGAAAACUCAGGGCUUAACCCUGAGCUUGCAGUGGGUACGGGCAGACUAGAGUGCGGUAGGGGGAGACUGGAAUUCCGUGGUGUAGCGGUGAAAUGCGCAGAUAUCAGGAAGAACACCAAUGGCGGAAGGCAGCUCUCUGGGACGGUAACUGGACGCUGAGACGCGAAAGCGUGGGGAGCGAACAGG